rnacentral:rRNA from 1 species
GACGAACCGUGCGAACGUUGUUCGGAAUCACUGGGCUUAAAGCGUGUGUAGGCGGCGGCGUAAGUACCUUGUGAAAUCCCACGGCUCAACCGUGGAACUGCUCGGUAUACUGCGUCGCUUGAGCCGUCUAGGGGCGACCGGAACAAACGGUGGAGCGGUGAAAUGCGUAGAUAUUGGGUGGAACACCGGUGGCGAAGGCGGCUAUCUGGCUCACAACUGACGAUCAGGCACGAAAGCGUGGGGAGCAAACAGG